AGAAGACAGCAGUAAAAGUAGGAGGAGUACAAGAGCACAUCGUGAGAGAGUGCAGGAUUUCCAGGAAGUGUUGACAGUGUUACAUGUUCCAGAGGAGAAAAAGAGGAGGAAUGGCAAAGGCUGAUUGACUUUGUCAGCUACUUACUUUAAAAAACAUUUGAGAAAGCCAGAAAGCAGAGAGGAUGAAGCUCCACCGUCAUGAGAAUGGGAAGCAGAGGCAGCGGCAGCAUGCACAGACAUCCUUUGAAGGUUUGUUAUAAACACAGAAACUGAUGUCUGGGAAAAGGCUGGAGUGCAAUGGCGCGAUCUCGGCUCACCGCAACCUCCGCCUCCCAGGUUCAAGCAGUUCUCCUGCCUUUGUCUCCCGAGUAGCUGGGAUUACAGGCAUGCACCACCACGCCCGGCUAAUUUUGUAUUUUUAGUAGAGACAGGGUUUCUCCAUGUUAAGGCUGUUUUCGAACUCCUGACCUCAGGUGAUCCGCCCGCCUCGGCCUCCCAAAGUGCUGGGAUUACAGGCGUGAGCCACUGUGCCCAGCCCAAGCUGUACUUUUAUUUAAGUAUAAUUUAGUUAGAUGUGUGAACUCACUGAAAAUGUAUACACAAUUUUCUGUGUAUGUAUAAAAUUUGAUAUUUAAAUGUAUUUAUGGCAAGAGUAUCUGUAACUUUUAUGAACAUAUCAAGUGGACAUGAUCACAAAACAUGUAAUUUAUUACCAUAGAGCUUCAGAAAUACCCCUUCCAAAAAAUAUGUAUAAUGAUAUGAUACUUACAAUGGAGGCAACUAUGAUAUUUAACUGUCAGUAAACUGAAAGAAUAAAAUGACUCAAAAAGUUUGUAAAGAUGAUACCUUUCUCUACAAGUUUAGGCAAACACUUCAAUUUUUAAACAUUUUUUAACCUAAUUUUGUUGCUAUGGUAUUUUAUUUUCACUACUUAAUUAUUGGGUGCCACGUAAUACCUCAAAUGAACAAAUUAUCACUGAAAUUAAAAAGGUAGUUGACUAGAUAGGUAUCCUGUAGGAAGAAAAUAGGUCCCCUCAGAAUAAAUGAGAACUCACUGUACUUUUUAAUUCUUUUCAAAAAUGAAGGGGAAACAAUGGUGUUCCAAGAAACACAAAGAUUCAAGGAAUAAAUAAAAGAAAAUAAAAAUAUUUUCAGAAAAGUUUGAGAGUAUUUGUUGCCAGCAGGAAUAUAUUAAAAAGAAAAAACUAAAAUAUGUGUUUCAAUUAGAAAGAAAACUAUUCCACAUAGAAAUGUAAAAAUGUAAAAAGGAAUAAAAAGCACUGAAAAGAGUAACUAUAUAAAUAUAAAUUACUAUUCAUGUUAAUAAAUAAUUAUUACAGUUUCCUAUGAUGGCCAAAAUAUGUACAUUGAUAUACAUGUUCAUGAAACGCAAGAGGUGGGUGCGGAGUUGAUAGAGCUUAACAGUUUUAAAGAUGCUAACGGUAUUGUGAGAAUGGUCAAAAUAUUCAUUUGUUUUAAACUCCAUAAUACAUCAAAAUGCAUGUUGUAAUAUCUAUAGGAAAAGGUAGAAGCAUAGUAAAAAAUUAAUAAGACAAAAUUAAUUAAAUCAAAAAUGGAAUAAAAAGAACACAGAAGAGGUAGGUCAAAGAAAAAAAUAAAAAGUGAGAUAUCAGCAAUACCAAUAAAUAUAAAUGGAUUAAAUAUGCUACAUAAAACACUAAGAUUAUUGGCCUUAAAAAAAGCAAUUUGUUGUCUUAAAAAUUACAAACAGUUGUAUUCAGAAAUAUUGAAAUUGAAUGAAAAAUAACAUAAAAUAACAAAAAAUUUAUCUAUAUACAUUAAUAUCAUGAAAAUUUUAAGGUAAAACAAAUAACAUUAAGAAAGAAAGAGAUGUAUAUUUUAUAAUGGCAAAGGUGUAUAAUUGAAUGAUUGUAUUGGUAACCUCAACUGUGCAUUUCCACCAGUAUCUAUGUCCUUUGCUGUGACUGUGAAAUUCAUUUAACUAAUUUGUUCGAGUAUAUUUUCUCAGCCCUAAAUUUGGGCUUACUGCUAUUAAUUGUCUUAGCCAAAAAUAAUGUUAGCAGCUUUAACAUAAAUAAAACCUUGAUGAAGUGUU